rnacentral:rRNA from 1 species
CACGAAUUAAGACGAGCUAAUUAACUGUAAAUGUUAGUUUCAGGGAUGUAGCAAAAUUAUGUCAAACUUUUAAUUAGGGGUGAAAGGCUUAUCAAGUCUUAUUAUAACUUGUUGUUUACGAAAUGUAUUUAGUACAUCGCCAACUAAAGAGUGCAAAGAUUCUUUAGAGUUAUUAAGGCUAAGUUGAUGUCGAGGUCAAGUUUUAACUAACAGACAAUAUAAUAACAGAAUAUUAUUUUUAUAUAAUUUAUAAAUAAUAGUAAACUAUAUAUACAAUAUGAUGCAUUAUAAAUAAUGUUAUUAUAAGUAGCUAAAAUAAAUAUUUUCCAUGAACUCGGCAAUAUUUUCUCCAACUGUUUACCAAAAACAUAGCUAGUAGUAAUCAAUUAUUAGUAUUUUCUGCCCGAUGAACAUUAAAUGGCCGCAGUACCCUGACUGUGCUAAGGUAGCAUAAUCAAUUGGCUUGUAAUUUAAGUCUUGUAUGAACGAAAACAUGAGGGAAACACUGUAUUUAAAGUAUAUUGUUAAAUUACUUUGUAAGUGAAAAUACUUACAGUAAAUUAUAAGACGAGAAGACCCUAGAAAUUUUUAACACUUUGCAACGAUGGUUUUUGUUGGGGCAACAAUGUAACACAUAACUUACAUCAAGUACAAGAAACUUAUUGUUAGAUUAAAUUACUCUAGGGAUAACAGCGUAAUGUAUUAACGCUUGCGACCUCGAUGUUGGAUUAGGAAAUAUAAGCUUAGAA